AGUGAACGCUGGCGGUAGGCCUAACACAUGCAAGUCGAACGGCAGCACAGGAGAGCUUGCUCUCUGGGUGGCGAGUGGCGGACGGGUGAGGAAUACAUCGGAAUCUACCUUUUCGUGGGGGAUAACGUAGGGAAACUUACGCUAAUACCGCAUACGACCUACGGGUGAAAGUGGGGGACCGCAAGGCCUCACGCGAUUAGAUGAGCCGAUGUCCGAUUAGCUAGUUGGCGGGGUAAUGGCCCACCAAGGCGACGAUCGGUAGCUGGUCUGAGAGGAUGAUCAGCCACACUGGAACUGAGACACGGUCCAGACUCCUACGGGAGGCAGCAGUGGGGAAUAUUGGACAAUGGGCGCAAGCCUGAUCCAGCCAUACCGCGUGGGUGAAGAAGGCCUUCGGGUUGUAAAGCCCUUUUGUUGGGAAAGAAAUCCUAUCGGUUAAUAACCGGUGGGGAUGACGGUACCCAAAGAAUAAGCACCGGCUAGCUUCGUGCCAGCCGCCGCCGUAAAAC
rnacentral:rRNA from 1 species